UGUUUGCUACAAAAUCUUUGGCUCCUACUUUAUCUUUCUCUCCGCUUCUUUAUUCAAAAUUCAAACAUCUGUUUGAAUGGUUUCAAAUCUUCUUUGCAAAAUAGUUUUGAAAAAGAAAGGAGAAAACCCCUAAACCCUCCUCCUCCCUGGGCCUCUCUCUCCUUGGCCCGUCAUCUUUUCUCCUCCCCUCUUCCCAGCGGCCCACCUCUCCAGCCCAACCCCCUCGUCCCGGCCCGUACCUCUUCGUUGUUUCUUUCCCUUCGUUGGCGUCUUCUUCACGAGAGAGCACGAGAACGGCGUGUCUUUCUCUCUGUUAACGUCACGCCGUGGUCCUCCCUCUCCCACGAUCCUCCACCUGCUCCCCUCCUCCCCUUUUAUUCCCUUUCAAAACCCUAGCCUCUCUUCCCCUCCACGCCGCCGCCACCUACAUCCCUCCAUCUUUUCUCUAUUCUCUGUGAGCAAACGAAGAGAAAGAAAACCCCACUGCCACCAUCCUCUUCACCAUGGCGCCGCCGCUCCACACCUCCCCUCCCCGAGCUGAGACCACCAGAAGAUCCGCACCGUCGCCAUCUUCAUCCCCUCCAAAGGAAUCGAGCCGGGGCUCGCUUAAUCAACGUCAAAAUCGCCUAUUCCCUCUCCAACUCCGGCGAGAAAGUCCUCAAUUCCGGCCGCCUCCGACCUCCACCGACCCUUCCGAGCACGUCCACACAUUCCAGGUGACCGUGCGCAUCCCCGACACCAAUCACCUCGUCCCGAUUUGCUCCGAGUCGCCGGAUCCAUGAAUGACCAGAGCUCCUCCGCCAUGGGCUUCAUCCUCGUGUUCUGCGAGUCUCCUUCAGGUUGAUGGGCGCCCAUCUCAUGACACCAUCCACGCAGCAGCCCGACUGAUCUCGCAGCGAACGAUGCUUCAAUUCGUGUGGAGCCUUUGCAUAUUCAACAUCAGCAACUAGCCUAGCUGAUCCACCGACGGGCUUCGACCCAGUUUGAUCCAGCGCCUACUGGGCCUCGGCCCGUGUUGCCGCCAACUUGUUCGCCGCCGAGCGUGCGGCAGGCCGCUAU